CUACGUCUUGACAACAGGGCAGUGGGUUGAGUCACAUCCUGUGACAGCAACCUGUGGCCCUAAAAGCUGAUGCUGCAGAAAUCUAGUGACAAUGUGAGAUGGUCUCCUCCUCUACACACUGGUUCUUCCAGUGAAUGCAGAAAGAAAACAGUUAAAAGUGUGUGGCGGGGGUGGGCGGGGUAGUAUUAAUAUUAUGACCCGCCCCUUGGGGCCGCCCUGCAGCCUAAUGUAGAAGCCUCUUAAGGAAAAACUCUGCCCCUUUCUCUCUCUCCCUCCACUCCCAUGAGGUGUGCACCCCUCGACCCCCCUCUCUCUUUUUCUCUUCUUUCCUAUUCUCCCUUCAUCUCUCUAUUAUAAUAAACCAUUUCCUCUCA